UACGUAGGGUCCAAGCGUUGUUCGGAAUUACUGGGCGUAAAGUGUGCGCAGGCGGCCGAGCAAGUCGAGUGUGAAAGCCCCGAGCUUAACUUGGGAAUUGCGCUCGAAACUACUUGGCUGGAGUGUGGCAGAGGAAGGUGGAAUUCCAGGUGUAGCGGUGAAAUGCGUAGAGAAUCUGGAAGGAACACCGAUGGCGAAGG
rnacentral:rRNA from 1 species